AUGCAAACAAAUACUAACGCAUAUUACUACUCAUUCCCCCUUCUCCCAGCCGUGGUUACUCAAGGUCCACAGGUGACUUUCAUAGGACAGCAUAGUUGGCCAGUGGCAGAGGGGGAACCUGAACCCAAGUCUCUGAGUUCCAGUUUCAUCGGCUGGCUGCCUGGAUCCUUCAUGCGUGGCCUGUCUCUGCUGUCCUCGGUUGUCCAAUCUGGGAGGCUGUUGAAAGAACCAGAGACAAAGCCACUGAAUCAGAGACAAAGACAAGGUGGAUGACGGAGUUUAAUUCAUUUUCAUUUUCACACGUGCGCAUCUCAGGCCACUGAGCAUCCAUUCACCCUUUGGGUAAAAAAGCACCUCACCUGCCCUUUAAGAACCUCCCCUUCCUUCCCCCCACCCCUGCUCCCCAUUCUGGCACUUAUACUUUGGGUGGGAUUGAUCCCACUCUAUGAGUCAGCCCGACUGGCCAAAACCAGUUUGUCUUCCAGGCUUGGGAGGGGCCUGGGCUCCAACCAGAGCCAAUGAGACUUUCUGGAAGAGAGGUGGGGGCUCCUCCCCCACAGGCUUGAAUCUGGAAGCGUGGACAUGGGAACCACUGUCUCCAUUUUUGCCAUCGGAGGUGGCCUGAGAAGACACCAGCUCAGGGAGCAGAUCAAAGACGAGCUGAGACGUGGAAAGAAACCAGGGUUUUGUGGUAGCGUAAACCUCACUCAGGCAACACCAGAAGAGGCUCAGCCCUUCUGCUGGACUUUUCAGUUCUGUGAGCUUGUAUUUGGUUUCUGCCUUUUUCUUUUUUUCUUUGGUCACUUGCCGCUGAGAGAGUCCUAGACGAAACAGCAGAUGUCAUCAAAUUGUGUCUUAGAUUCUAGUUUUUUAGAGACAGUGCUUCGUGGAAAGUGUAAUGGGAUUUGGUGAGAACAUCACAGUUCCCCACUUAGGCUAGCUCCUUCCAUCUCAGGUCUGUGUUUGUGAAACAGUGCCAGGAACGCCUGCCUAUUUUGAAGGAAAAGUAAGAAAAAGAAAAACUGUAAGGUGUUUUCAGAUUUUCAUUACUGUUAUUUUUAUGCGCUCCUUGUGGGUAGGAACUAGAGUGGUUUUUUUUUUUUUUUUUUUUUUUUUUUGUAUACCACAGAGACCACUAAAGUACCUCACACAAAGCAGGUGGUCAAUAAAACUAGAGCUCUGUUUGAAUCA
rnacentral:lncRNA from 1 species